UUACGGCCACAUCACAUUGAAACAUCACCGGUUCUUCCUGUUCGAUCACUGAAUUUAAGCAACUUGGAGCCUGGUCAGUACCUAAAUGGGUGACCACUUGGGAAUAUCAGGUGCUGAAGG